CACACUUCUCAUCUCCAUCUCAGACGGCUGAUUUUCCUAAGAAACCCUACCUGCGGCGCUGAUUUACGUCGGUUUCUGGUAUGUUGAUUGCAUUGUAACGCCUAUUCGUCUUCGUUUCCUUUAACGUAUCAUCAGAUUGUUUCAGUCCGGUUUCGACAAACAAAGGUAUGAUUCUCAACCUCUACACCAAUGUUGAUUCUUUCACUCCGAUUUGGUGUACACAGAUGACAUACCUCUUUUUGUCCACAUACGAUUGUGUUUUACACAUCAUCUUUUGGGUUGGAGAGUAAAAUCUAUAUCCAAAAGUUGUGCUAUGUAAGCAAAUAUUGUGUUCAUAAUUGUUAAUCAUUUGUUUGUUCUUUCCUUUAUUUGAUUUCUAUUAUUUAAAUGUGCUGAUUUGAUGCUGUCUUGGGGCUGUUUUGUGUUUAUUUGGUGCUUUUUGUGGCUGCGGUUUCACUUUAAAUUGAUAGGGUUCUGGUACUCGGAGAAACCAAUUAAUGGCAGCUCAAUCCUCUUUCAGCAUUCAAACGCUCAUUUUAUGAACCUCUGUUAUAUGUUCAAAACAGGUUCCCCAUUGAUGUCCCAGUCAGCUGUUGAUGAAGGGUCCAAAACUGGAAUCAAAGGGUCUGGGAUUCUGAGCUCAGCAGCUAAACCGAGCAACAAGAAGUUAAAGUUUUUGAUCAGUAACACAUAGCACGGUUCUUCUGCCAUCAAGGAUCAGCAUCUGUUAGUCGACACAUGACCAUUUUUAUGGUGCUCAGGGCCAUAUGUUUGAUGAUUUUCACCCAAACAAGGCCGAUGUGAUUAUUACCUUGGCUGGAUCAAAUGGAGGAUCAUGGUCAACCAGUUUCUUACCAAAUUCAUCAUUAAAG